AUACGUAGGUGACAAGCGUUAUCCGGAUUUACUGGGCGUAAAGGGCGUGUAGGCGGUCUUGCAAGUCAGAAGUGAAAUUCCUGAGCUCAACUCGGGCGCUGCUUCUGAAACUGCAGGACUUGAGUGCUGGAGGGGAUAGCGGAAUUCCUAGUGGAGCGGUAAAAUGCGCAGAUAUUAGGAAGAACACCGGUGGCGAAGGCGGCUAGCUGGACAGUAACUGACGCUGAGUCGCGAAAGCGUGGGGAGCAAACAGGAUUAGAUGCCCUGGUAGUCCACGCCGUAAACGAUGAAUACUAGGCGUAGGGGGUAUCGACUCCCUCUGUGCCGCAGUUAACACAAUAAGUAUUCCGCCUGGGGAGUACGGCCGCAAGGUUGAAACUCAAAUGAAUUGACGGGG
rnacentral:rRNA from 1 species